rnacentral:rRNA from 1 species
UACGGAGGGGGCUAGCGUUGUUCGGAAUUACUGGGCGUAAAGCGCACGUAGGCGGCUUUGUAAGUUAGAGGUGAAAGCCCGGGGCUCAACUCCGGAAUUGCCUUUAAGACUGCAUCGCUAGAAUUGUGGAGAGGUGAGUGGAAUUCCGAGUGUAGAGGUGAAAUUCGUAGAUAUUCGCAAGAACACCAGUGGCGAAGGCGGCUCACUGGCCCAUUACUGACGCUGAGGCACGAAAGCGUGGGGAGCAAACAGG